GUUCAAUUCCCAGCCACCACAUGGUGGUUCAUAGCCAUCUAUAAUGAGAAUUGGUACCCUCUUCAGGCCUGCAGACUCAAUGCAGGCAGAACACUGCAUACCAAAUAAAUAAAUAAAUAAAUAAAUAAAUAAAUAAAUAAAUAAAUCUUUAAAAAAAAAAGAAAUGUAAGGUGUGGUUCAUAGAUUUAUAAAAUUAGUUUUAGAAAUAUUUAUUGAUAAGAUUAAAUCUAUUUUUUUAAGAUUUAUUUAUUUUAUGUAUAUGAGUAUAUUGUAACUGUCUUUAGACAUAUCAGAAGAGGGCAUACUUGGUGUGAGGAAGAAUCAUUUUCUUCAAGUCCUUUGUUUUUUAUAUAAAUACACGUUCUAUACACACACAAUAAUUGUAAGAAACACUGUCACACUAUGUGGAAUCAUGUAUUUGUUCUGAAUGUUUGAAUGUUAAAGAAUAUAUAUAUAGUAUCAGAUGCCAGUAGUGGCAUAUUUAACAUGCUUUGGGAAUAGAUUCAUGUAGACUGGUGUAGCCUUUUUUUUUUUUUUUUUUAAAUAACUUUAUAAUUUUGAGAAGAAAUGUCUAGAACUUUAAAGAUUUCUCAAGGGUCUAGAGAGAUGGUUCAGCAUUUAAGAGUGUGAAAUGCUCUUCCAGAAUAUCUGAGUUUGGUUCCUGGCACCCAGGUCACUGGCUCAGAACUUCCUGUAACUCCAGCUCUAGGAGAUCUGAUGCUUCUGGCUUACUCACACAUCCAGACACUCCAGUGAUGCGCACAUGAUAAAUAAAUGAAAAAGAAGCUUGAGAGAUGGCAGAACAAUUAAGAGCAUUGUCUGCUCUUGUAGGAGACCAGGACUUAAUUCUCAGCACCCACAUGGGGGUUCAAUUGUCUUUAACUCAAGUUUCAGGUGACCUCAUUUCCUCUUCUGACCUCUGUGAGUACCAGGCAAGCAUGUGGUGUAUGUAUGUGUGUGUGUGUAUGUGUGUUAUAUAUAUAUAUAUAUUUCUGAAGGCAAAACACUUGUAUACAUAAAGUGAUAAUAGAUAAAUAUUCUCCUAAGAAAUGUUUUCAAGUGAGAUUAGCAGCAUGUGCCUCUACUCCAUCACUUGAGAAUUAAAUUGGGAUUCAAGGCCAGCCUCCGCUGCUUAGUAAGAUCCAGUCCAAUUCUUAUGUGAGAUCUUCUUUCCAAACAGAGC
rnacentral:lncRNA from 1 species